UACAGAGGUCCCAAGCGUUGUUCGGAUUCACUGGGCGUAAAGGGUGCGUAGGUGGUGGAUUAAGUCGGGUGUGAAAUCUCCGGGCUCAACCCGGAGCGUGCGCCCGAAACUGGUUCGCUAGAGGAUAGGAGGGGAGACUGGAAUUCUCGGUGUAGCAGUGAAAUGCGUAGAUAUCGAGAGGAACACCGGUGGCGAAGGCGAGUCUCUGGACUAUUCCUGACACUGAAUCACGAAAGCCGGGGGAGCAAAC
rnacentral:rRNA from 1 species